ACGUUUGCUGGUUAAGACAAGCUAGGAGUGUCAACCAACUAGCCACAACAGUUUGUGCAUUUUUUUUUUGUUUUGCAACUUUUUCUGGCGUUCGUGAUGUUCCAGUGAGGUGGUGUGUCAAGUUGUAUUCCCAGAUAUUUUGCUGAAUCAUUUUGCGGCUUUUACUAACACUUGAAUUAGAAUCCAACUUCUCAUUUUUCUUCGUAUUGUAUUCGAUAUUUUUAUUAGGAUCAUUAAUAAUACUCACUUGGAAAUGUAAUAAUUCACUCUGUAGUUGUGCAUUGCUCACUUGUAAUUAGGUCACAAGCUUAGUUAAGUUUUUCGUUGUCUUGUUGUAUUUGUAGUAUAAUUGCAUGAACAACUAAAACAUGACCCGUCACAGACAUCCCGAAAAACGAUCCAAGCCCCCACACGCGUGUGUCAAAGGCGAUGACAUAUUCAUAGUUAGUGUAUUACUAAACGAACGGGUAUAUUCAAAAUUCGAGAGCGGAACAUACAUGUUGCUAGUUCAAUAAACAAAACGCGACUAUACAAAUGACAUGAACACAUUUUUUCUUGUAAUGUAUAUUCUUUAUAUUAUUGGAUAGCAUACAAUUUUAAUUUUAUAUAAAUAAAAUAAAAUACAAAUACAAAUUAACAAGAAUAUCCAGACUGUAUUAUUUAUUCUAAACAUCUAUACAAAGAUUUAAAACCCUGUUAAAUUCUAUAAGCUAAAUUUCAAUUAUUUAAUCGUAAUAUAUACAACUAUACAUUAAACAUAGAAAAAAACUGUUGAAAAAAUUAAUAUUUAACGAUUAGAAUAUGUUAUUUUAGAUAUGAAGCAUAGCGAGGGUAUCUAUUGGUUUUUCCAUGAUUUGGUUUUUUUAUAUUUUGUGGGUAUGUUCAAUUUUUCUACCAGAACACUUGCUCUGAAAUAUCGAGUAGAACUUUUUCUGAAAAAUAAAGUUUUGUAGUUGCUACAUUUGGACGGUCAUAUUUUAAAUUUCUAAAUGAUUUUCAAAAUAUAUGGGAAAAAUCAGAAAAAAAAUUAUGGGUAAAAAGGCAAAUAUUUACGUCAUGUCAUGGAGCCAUCGUUUUCGUUUUUUUUUUUGAUUUCUGUUCACUAGGUUUUAUACCAGAAAUAUUGCCCCAACUAAAAAGUUGGUAGCCACUAACAGAAAAAUUCGUUUUUUGAUAUCCAAAGUAGUUUUCAUAGUAAUUGGGUAAAAAAAUAAAAAACAAGGGAUACGAUUUUUUUUUUCAAAUUAUGACCUAAAAAUUGUAUUAUUUAAAAGUACAGGAAAAUUCAU